rnacentral:tRNA from 1 species
GGUCCCAUGGUGUAACAGGUAGUACUUAGGGCUUUCAGUCCUACAAGCUGAGUUCAAAACUUGGUGGGACCU